GUGCCAGCAGCCGCGGUAAUACGGAGGGUGCAAGCGUUAUUCGGAAUUAUUGGGCGUAAAGGGCGCGUAGGCGGCCUUUUAAGUCAGAUGUGAAAGCCCGGGGCUUAACCCCGGAAGUGCAUUUGAAACUAAAGGGCUUGAGUAUGGGAGAGGGAAGUGGAAUUCCUGGUGUAGCGGUGAAAUGCGUAGAUAUCAGGAGGAACACCGGUGGCGAAGGCGACUUCCUGGACCAAUACUGACGCUAAGGCGCGAAGGCGUGGGUAGCAAACAGGAUUAGAUACCCUGGUAGUCCACGCAGUAAACGGUG
rnacentral:rRNA from 1 species